AGCGGCGGACGGGUGAGUAACACGUGGGCAACCUGCCUGUAAGAUCGGAAUAACCCCGGGAAACCGGGGCUAAUGCCGGGUAAUACUUUUCUUCGCAUGAAGAUAAGUUGAAAGAUGGCUUCUCGCUAUCACUUACAGAUGGGCCCGCGGCGCAUUAGCUAGUUGGUGAGGUAACGGCUCACCAAGGCAACGAUGCGUAGCCGACCUGAGAGGGUGAUCGGCCACACUGGGACUGAGACACGGCCCAGACUCCUACGGGAGGCAGCAGUAGGGAAUCUUCCGCAAUGGACGAAAGUCUGACGGAGCAACGCCGCGUGAACGAUGAAGGUCUUCGGAUCGUAAAGUUCUGUUGUCAGGGAAGAACAAGUACCGUGCGAAUAGAGCGGUACCUUGACGGUACCUGACGAGGAAGCCCCGGCUAACUACGUGCCAGCAGCCGCGGUAAUACGUAGGGGGCAAGCGUUGUCCGGAAUUAUUGGGCGUAAAGCGCGCGCAGGCGGUUCCUUAAGUCUGAUGUGAAAGCCCACGGCUCAACCGUGGAGGGUCAUUGGAAACUGGGGAACUUGAGGACAGAAGAGGAGAGUGGAAUUCCACGUGUAGCGGUGAAAUGCGUAGAUAUGUGGAGGAACACCAGUGGCGAAGGCGACUCUCUGGUCUGUUUCUGACGCUGAGGUGCGAAAGCGUGGGUAGCAAACAGGAUUAGAUACCCUGGUAGUCCACGCCGUAAACGAUGAGUGCUAGGUGUUAGGGGGCUUCCACCCCUUAGUGCUGAAGUUAACGCAUUAAGCAC
rnacentral:rRNA from 1 species